AUUUGUUUAACUAUGGCAACAGGAAAUAGUGGGUAAUUUAACUGCAUAAAAUUUUUAUAGAUUGAUAAUUUAUGAUUUCAUCUUAGUCAUUAGCAGUUAGUAUUUUGAUAGAAUUCACGUUUUUUAAGGAGUUACUCUAUGAGAGGGGAUAGGACACAGUGCCAGCAUCCGCGGUUAUUCUGUUUUCUUUGUUUUCUUAUGAAUAUUUAAUUAGAUAAAUAGUAUUGAGGUUGGGUGAAAUUUUCUUAAGAUGCUUUAUGUGUAUUUAAUUGAGAAAAUGAUAAUUUAAUGCGACAGGGAUUAGAUACCCCAUUAGUUAUUGUUUUAAUAAUAUUCUAGUUUUAUAACUAAAAUAGUUUGGCAGCGAGUUAUUCCUGUCGGGGGAAGGUGCGUUGUAAAGGACGAUCCGCCAAGUAAUUAACCUAGUCUAUGUUGGUGUAUAUCUGGUUGAAUAUUAUUGCUUAAUAGCAUAAUUUGUGUAGUUUUAUUAUUAAGCCAAGUCUAUGUGCUGCAUGUUUAGGUUAUCGUGCGUUACUUUUAUAAUAGUCAUUUUGUAAUAUUUGAUGAUUUAGGACUCGAGAGUAAUGUUAAAUUAGUAUGUUUGCGUGAAAAGGGUUUAACUUGGGUACACACCGCCCGUCACCCUCGACUUUUGUUGAGGUAAGUCGUAACAUGGUAACCCCAAAUGAAUUUGGGGUUAAUUGUAAAUUAUU
rnacentral:ncRNA from 1 species